GUCUUCGUUGAUGGCAGAGAGAUCGAGCUCUCAGAAGGGGCGCAUCUUGUCGAUGCCCUUGGCAAGGCAGGUGCCGCUCCUGCCGAGGGCGC
rnacentral:tRNA from 1 species